GUGGGGAAUUUUGGACAAUGGGCGCAAGCCUGAUCCAGCCAUGCCGCGUGCAGGAUGAAGGCCUUCGGGUUGUAAACUGCUUUUGUACGGAACGAAAAGACUCUUUCUAAUAAAGAGAGUUCAUGACGGUACCGUAAGAAUAAGCACCGGCUAACUACGUGCCAGCAGCCGCGGUAAUACGUAGGGUGCGAGCGUUAAUCGGAAUUACUGGGCGUAAAGCGUGCGCAGGCGGUGAUGUAAGACAGAUGUGAAAUCCCCGGGCUCAACCUGGGAACUGCAUUUGUGACUGCAUCGCUGGAGUGCGGCAGAGGGGGAUGGAAUUCCGCGUGUAGCAGUGAAAUGCGUAGAUAUGCGGAGGAACACCGAUGGCGAAGGCAAUCCCCUGGGCCUGCACUGACGCUCAUGCACGAAAGCGUGGGGAGCAAACAGGAUUAGAUACCCGUGUAGUCC
rnacentral:rRNA from 1 species